GGUUUUUAGGUACUUAUUGAAAAUCAGGCCUGCUCAAUGUAAUAUUAAUAGCCGCGGUAUUUUGACCGUGCAAAGGUAGCAUAAUAAUUUGUCUUUUAAUUUAGGACUAGAAUGAAAGGUCAAACUAAGUAAUUUUGUCUUAUAAUGAUAUUUUGAAUUUUACAUUUUAGUAAAAAGGCUAAAAUUUAUUUUAGGGACGAGAAGACCCUGUCAAACUUUACAAAUUAUCUUGUUUUUCUUAAAACAAAUCAAAUUUGUUUUACUGGGGCAGUAAAUAAAGUAAUUUUAUUUUUACAAUGUGGACAUUAUUCUUUAGAAAUCAGAAAUUUUCUAAUUAAAAAUAAGUUACUGCAGGGAUAACAGCGUAAUUCUUUUUACGAGUACGUAUCAAUAAAAGAGUUUGCGACCUCGAUGUUGGAUUAAAAUUCCUGAUUCACGCAAUAGUGAAAUAAGGAAGUCUGUUCGACUUUUAAUAUUUUCCA
rnacentral:rRNA from 1 species